UGGGCCAGGUUCGUUCGUUCAGCGAGUAUUGUGAAGGCCUGUGGGCGAUCGACGAUACGCAUUUAGAAUUUCGUUUUUGGCUUCGAAUGUCAGGUCUAUUCAUUUCUUUCUAGAACAUUUGUUUAGUUUUCUGCAAACGCAUCUGUAGUGUCCGAGUAUAAAGAGGAACGAGAGAGCUUCGUUGAAACUGACCUACGAAACGGUGCCAUCUGUAGCACCGGAAAUUUCAUCGACUUAAUGGUAAUUUAUCGGUACGAAAAAUAUACGCGCUGUUACUUUUUGAACUAAUCAAAGUCUAAAAGAGUCGUUCAGCUUACGCGAAACUAGAAGGUCGCUGUAGUGUAUGUACUUACUAUCUCAAGUUGCAGGCCUUAGAGAACGCGGAAACCAGUAAGCAGACGAGAUGCAGACAAGAUACAGACGUUAUCGCGUUCGUGAUACUAUCCAUAAACCAGAUCUCAGAAUCCGUCGUCUGGCAGACGACAAACGAUACUCGAGGACGAAAAGCGAUCUCGGAGGAGCAAGCUGUCUCUCGUCGGCGUACUUCUCGUGUCCUUCGUGAUCAACCGAUCUUCUCUCUACGUGGAAUUCAUGAACGACGUCUAAACAUGCGACAACUUCUUCCGGACACGACAGCAGAUUUCAGCACCGUUAGCUUCUAGAUGUUUCACCAGGCCGUGUAUAUUACGGGAAACUCGUGCAAGCAACAUGCACGUCUCUAAUGUUUCUGGUGUUACUCAAUCGCAAGGCCGUGGACUUUGGUACGUUCGUGGAAAACACAAGGUGCGGGACGUAACGUAACCAGAAAAGUCAACAUUUUCAUUUCGAUCAAUAUUAAGGCUUACGCAGAUGUAUAUUCAUAAAAACCGUGUGUUUGCUAUUCUUUUUCUUCUGCGGAUCGGCGAGAGAAGUAAAUAUAUUUAUAUGUUUAGAAGUAUGCAAAAUACAGUAAAAUAAAUACAAUAAAAAACGAUGUGUUUAAAUAAGAGUGCGAUUGUAAUCUCGCAACUGCGUGCAUCGGUGAAUCUGUGAGAAAAGUUGUAGAGUAUUACGAUAUAGAGUGUUAAACAGUAAAAUUUUCCUCUCUCGUUGUUUUUUGAUUUCAUUUGCAACAGAAUUAUACUCUUCCCAGUUACUAGAAACAUCCUACACGUAAAAUACUCGUAAUAACCUACCUAUUAUAGUCUAUUAUCUCUUUAGGAACGUACCGGUUACAUUCGGUAGAUAGCAUCGACGAAUUUUACUUUAUUUAAUAUUUUUACGUUAUAAGAUAAUAUACAACCGAUUUAUAAUAAAAUAGCUAGGAAAUAAACGCGACGAAUGGCGCUCAAUUUAUACUAAGUAUAAGUAGAUAUUCUAAUGUGUAGGCAUAUCGGCCGGUGAUAUACGUUCGUGAAAAUAUAAAUUUGCAUAAGCAUCGGUAAUGGAACAUCUCUAGGUUACACGGACAUAAGUAAAAACUGUAUCGCACAGGUUCUUUUCCAGUGUUGUUCUAUUUCGAUUUCUUUACAUAAGAUUCGAAGGGACAAAGUUUAUACGAAUGAUUAGAUGGUAAAAUGGUUAGAAGAUAAAGCUUAUCUAGCGUUUAUGGCAGCUUUUUAUAAAUGCUUUUAUAGCAUUCCUAAGCAUUUUCGUUUCACGUUUUGAGAUUAAAGUUCAUG
rnacentral:misc_RNA from 1 species